CCUACGGGCGGCAGCAGUGGGGAAUAUUGGACAAUGGGGGCAACCCUGAUCCAGCCAUGCCGCGUGUGUGAAGAAGGCCCUCGGGUUGUAAAGCACUUUCAGUGAGGAAGAACGCCUGGUGGUUAAUACCCAUCAGGAAAGACAUCACUCACAGAAGAAGCACCGGCUAACUCCGUGCCAGCAGCCGCGGUAAUACGGAGGGUGCGAGCGUUAAUCGGAAUUACUGGGCGUAAAGCGCGCGUAGGUGGCUUGAUAAGCCGGUUGUGAAAGCCCCGGGCUCAACCUGGGAACGGCAUCCGGAACUGUCAAGCUAGAGUGCAGGAGAGGAAGGUAGAAUUCCCGGUGUAGCGGUGAAAUGCGUAGAGAUCGGGAGGAAUAUCAGUGGCGAAGGCGGCCUUCUGGACUGACACUGACACUGAGGUGCGAAAGCGUGGGUAGCAAACAGGAUUAGAUACCCCAGUAGUC
rnacentral:rRNA from 1 species